GGGUGAUUCAGCCGUGAUUCAGCCGCGCCGCCGCGCGCGAAUCUGCCCUUCGGCUCUUCAGGUGCUGCGGUGCACCCGCCGUCGGCUUCCCGGAGCCCCAGGCACCAAGGGCCCCCAGCCGCCUGGCCCCCCGGCCCCCAGGCCAUCCAGGACGGCGGCCCCGAUGUCCAGCCUGGGUGGGCAGCAGUCUCUGACCUGAGUCAGCUUCCCUAACAGAGCUUUCACCCCACCUGGGAUGUAAUUACCGUUUUCAAGAAGAAGAGAAGGAAACGGGCUAUGGUACUUUUUCAGUUUGAAUGUAUCGAUGAACUUGCAAAGUUCUGCAUAUGAAACCAAAAGAAUCCCAAUAUGAAAAGACAAUUCUGUAAAAAGGCAAGUCUAACAGAAAAGUUUAAUUCACAGAUGCUCCAAAAUUAUAGCCUGUAACCAUCCAGCCACCUGCUGCUGUUACUGGAUGAUGCUCCAUCCUAUUACAGCAAUUCUUUCAAACAGAGCUGUCAAGCUAUGUUCCUGCCUUGUGGAGCUGGCCUUUGCUGAAGUUCCUGGCUGGGUGAAUUUCCAAAGGAAAGCUAAGCCAAAACCAAGAUUUCCAAAGGAAAGCCAAGGCCCUAGGGGAGGAGAAAGGACUCCUUCUCUUGCUUUUGCUUCCAAUUCAUUUAGUCCUCCAUAUUUCUCUGCAUCCAGAACCUUUUCCUUUCCAGAGCAGGAAAAAUAAAAGUCUCAAUCUGGAAGAGGUUUUUUUUUUUCACUCUAACAACAUGAAAUAAAUGCUCCUCUGCAUUUCUGUUAUUCAUUAAGAAAUAGGGGUCAUGACUAUAAGAAAUAAACUAUGGUUUGGCUAGGAGGGCCUUUCUGCACUACUGCUUGCCUCUGGCAUAA